rnacentral:sRNA from 1 species
AAUGGAUUAUGUAAGAAACUUUGUAUAUAGUUCUUCAAAAAUAA